GAUGAACGCUGGCGGCGUGCCUAACACAUGCAAGUCGAACGGACAGACGAUGAGCUUUUUCCUUUGCCGUUAGCGGCGGACGGGCGAGUAACACGUGGAUCACCUUCUUAUUUUUCUUGGAUAAUUUCGUGAAACCGGUUCUACUACUACAUAAUAUAUUGUACCGCUUGGUUCAAUAGUUCAUCACGGCUUUGCUGUCUCUUAUAGCUGGAUCCGCGCUGCAUUAGCUGGUUGGUAAGGUCACGGCCUAGCAAGGCUACGUUGCGUAUCCGAGCUGAGAGGGUGAUCGGCCACAACGGAACUGGGACAAGGUCCAGAAUCCUAAGGGAGGGAGCAGUAGGGAAUGUUUGGCAAUGGGGGAAAACCUGACGGAAGAACGACGGGUGAGGGAUAAAGGGCCUGCGAGCGGAAAACUCUGUUUUUAGGGAAAAACAAAUGUGUAAUUAACUAUGCACGGCUUGACGGUAACUAAUAAGAAAGCCACGGCUAACUACGUG
rnacentral:rRNA from 1 species